rnacentral:rRNA from 1 species
AUUGAACGCUGGAGGCGUGCUUAACACAUGCAAGUCGUGCGAGAAAGGGACUUCGGUCCUGAGUAGAGCGGCGCACGGGUGAGUAACGCGUGGGUAAUCUCCCUUGGUGACCGGGAUAACAGCGGGAAACUGCUGCUAAUACUGGAUAAUCUUCAUGUUUAACUUCAUGGGGUAAAGGUGGCCUCUGCUUGCAAGCUACCACAUCAAGAUGAGCCCGCGUCUCAUUAGCUAGUUGGUAGGGUAAUGGCCUACCAAGGCUACGAUGAGUAGCUGGUCUGAGAGGAUGACCAGCCACACUGGGACUGGAACACGGCCCAGACUCCUACGGGAGGCAGCAGUGGGGAAUUUUGGACAAUGGGCGAAAGCCUGAUCCAGCCAUUCCGCGUGCAGGAUGAAGGCCCUCGGGUUGUAAACUGCUUUUGUACGGAACGAAAAGGCUCUUGCUAAUACCAGGAGUCCAUGACGGUACCGUAAGAAUAAGCACCGGCUAACUACG